GCGCCUGCAAAAUCAGGCGUCAGGAUUAGCCUCCUGAACUACCUCAUCAGCGACACGAGUGUUAUCGUGUCGUGC
rnacentral:sRNA from 1 species